GAGAAGAGAACGAGGAUGCACAAAGUGCGAAGUCUACAGGAAGUAAAACCUAUGCUCUGAUUCCAAAUUGACAGGACCCGACCCAAUUUCCACUUUGGAAUUCGAGCCAAGUCCUGUGCGUGUCCGACACCUGACAAAUGUCGGGCACAAAUGACCUUCUUACCCUUCUGACUUCAAUUUCUCUUUAAAUUUCCUCAGAUUUCUGCCGAAAAUUCGGCAGAACCUCCCCUGUAUUUUUGAUUUAUCCCAAAAUUUUCACCUGUCAAAUAAUCUCAGAAACCCUACCAACAGCCAGACUAAGUCAAAAAACAGAUUCCAACCUCAAUUCCUUAUGUUCAACAUGAUAUCAGAGCAUUUUCUAGGGUUUUCAAGGUUGCAAGGAUCUUUUGCAAAACUUUACCUUGGCGCAGAAACUAUGAUUGGCCCGGUGGUGGAUCCCGCGUACUUCUACGGCCUGGGGGCGAAAAACAGGUUGAAAAUGUGAGUGGACCAAAGCAACAAUAAUGUUCUUCAAAACAAUUCUCAUAAACAUAAUAUCCCCCAUGGUAAAAUAAAUUUAGCUAAAUAAAAAUGAAUACUUACUUAUUAUAUCACGCGUAGUCAAUUCAAGGCAUUCUAUAUCAGUCAUAUUCAAACUUGAAAGUUUCAUACAAACCACUGAAUUCAAAGCUUUCAUAAAAGUACUGAAAU
rnacentral:lncRNA from 1 species